rnacentral:rRNA from 1 species
GACGAACGCUGGCGGCGUGCUUAACGCAUGCAAGUCGAACGGAAAGGCCCUGCUUUUGUGGGGUGCUCGAGUGGCGAACGGGUGAGUAACACGUGAGUAACCUGCCCUUGACUUUGGGAUAACUUCAGGAAACUGGGGCUAAUACCGGAUAGGAGCUCCUGCUGCAUGGUGGGGGUUGGAAAGUUUCGGCGGUUGGGGAUGGACUCGCGGCUUAUCAGCUUGUUGGUGGGGUAGUGGCUUACCAAGGCUUUGACGGGUAGCCGGCCUGAGAGGGUGACCGGCCACAUUGGGACUGAGAUACGGCCCAGACUCCUACGGGAUGCAGCAGUGGGGAAUAUUGCACAAUGGGCGGAAGCCUGAUGCAGCAACGCCGCGUGCGGGAUGACGGCCUUCGGGUUGUAAACCGCUUUCGCCUGUGACGAAGCGUGAGUGACGGUAAUGGGUAAAGAAGCACCGGCUAACUACGUG